rnacentral:rRNA from 1 species
GACGUAGGGCGCGAGCGUUGUCCGGAUUUAUUGGGCGUAAAGAGCUCGUAGGCGGCUCGUUGCGUCAACCGUGAAAGCCCGGGGCUUAACUUCGGGCUUGCGGUUGAUACGGGCGGGCUGGAGUUCGGUAGGGGAGACUGGAAUUCCUGGUGUAGCGGUGAAAUGCGCAGAUAUCAGGAGGAACACCGGUGGCGAAGGCGGGUCUCUGGGCCGAUACUGACGCUGAGGAGCGAAAGCGUGGGGAGCGAACAGG